GCCUUCGUGGUGUAGUGGUCAGCACGCUCGACACGUAACCAAGAGGUCCGUGGUUCGAUUCCCGGCGAGAGCA
rnacentral:tRNA from 1 species